ACCUUGUACAUUACAUGUUCGAAAAAAUCCAAUCUAAUUGCACGUAUUGUGUUUAGUGUGUAUUGAUCGAAAAGUCGAUCAAUACACAAUAUAAAAACAUCAAUAAACAGAGGCAGGUCCUCUUUUAGUGUUCAACCUUCAUCAAGUUAAUUUCGCUGUGAUAUUAUCCGAAAAUCCAGUUAGGGACAGUAAAGUCAGCUAGGACAGUGAACUUAUAAAAAGUAAGAACUUUUCAAGUGGCGACGAGGAACAUCGUAGAACCGGCGUGAUUGAAACCGAGGAAUCCAAAUUCGCAGUAGGACGUUUCCGGCUGAGGUUUUUUGGCGUGGUUUCUUCUGGGCAGACUUCGGAUACAGGUUCUUGAAAACUUUUUCAUCGAUCGGAAAGAAUAAAAGGAAACGCUUAUUCGACCGUCCAUUCCUAUACGGGUACAUGCUAUAAAAAAAAAUCGGAAAAUUAAAAGAAUCGACGAAUAAAACGAGAAUUUAUAUUGAGGAAAAAGAAACUGCAUUACGUUUGGAAUCAAUCGGUGGAAAUUGGAAACGUAAGGGUCAACGCACACAGAAGUCAGCUUAGAGUGACUAAUUCGGACUCAAUGGUCCGGCCGAACAUAUUUUGUCCUGGGACGAUGGCAGGAUCGGCAAACGCAAGAGAUGAAGCGGAAGAAGAUUUCCGAGGUUUUCCAAGUGAAGAAUUAAGGAAGACUCGAAAAAGGAAGAAAACUGAAGUUAAUAUUUCGCCAAUCAGGCGCUCGAAAAGAUGGAAGACAAAGAAAUAUGAUAAUGAUUUUAUAUAUAGCUGAUAAAUUUGUAUUAAACAGAAUUGAUAAAUGUCAAUUCUUCUCUGUUUGUAAUAUACUUCGAGAUCUUUAGGGGGAAGAGCUGUUAUGUAACACUUCUCCAAAUGUGUCCACCUUGUACAUUACAUGUUCGAAAAAAUCCAAUCUAAUUGCACGUAUUGUGUUUAGUGUGUAUUGAUCGAAAAGUCGAUCAAUACACAAUAUAAAAACAUCAAUAAACAGAGGCAGGUCCUCUUUCAGUGUUAAACUUUCAACAA